rnacentral:rRNA from 1 species
CUACGGGAGGCUCCAGUGAGGAAUUUUGCGCAAUGGGGGAAACCCUGACGCAGCAACGCCGCGUGAGCGAAGAAGGCCUUCGGGUCGUAAAGCUCUGUCAAGUGGGAAAAAAAUCUUUUGAUCAAUAGUCAAAAGACUUGAUGGUACCACUGGAGGAAGCACCGGCUAACUCCGUGCCAGCAGCCGCGGUAAUACGGAGGGUGCAAGCGUUGUUCGGAUUUACUGGGCGUAAAGAGCGUGUAGGCGGUUUAGCAAGUCAGAUGUGAAAGCCCUGGGCUCAACCCGGGAAGUGCAUUUGAAACUGCUUCACUAGAGUGUGGGAGAGGAGAUUGGAAUUCCUGGUGUAGAGGUGAAAUUCGUAGAUAUCAGAAGGAACACCCGUGGCGAAGGCGAUUCUCUGGACCAAUACUGACGCUGAGACGCGAAAGCGUGGGGAGCAAACAGGAUUAGAUACCCUCGUAGUC